rnacentral:rRNA from 1 species
GUAGCCGGUCCCAAGGGUAUGGCUGUUCGCCAUUUAAAGUGGUACGUGAGCUGGGUUUAAAACGUCGUGAGACAGUUUGGUCCCUAUCUGCCGUGGGCGUUGGAAGUUUGAGGGGGGCUGCUCCUAGUACGAGAGGACCGGAGUGGACGUAUCCCUGGUGUACCGGUUGUGACGCCAGUCGCAUCGCCGGGUAGCUAAAUACGGAAGAGAUAACCGCUGAAAGCAUCUAAGCGGGAAACUUGCCUCAAGAUGAGACUUCCCAGAGACUUGAUCUCUCUAAAGGUUCGUCAAAGACGAUGACGUUGAUAGGCUCGGUGUGGAAGCGCAGUAAUGCGUUGAGCUAACGAGUACUAAUUGACCGUGCGGCUUGAUCCUAUAACCUUA